AGUGAACACUGGCGGUAGGCCUAACACAUGCAAGUCGAACGGCAGCACAGUAAGAGCUUGCUCUUACGGGUGGCGAGUGGCGGACGGGUGAGGAAUACAUCGGAAUCUACUUUUUCGUGGGGGAUAACGUAGGGAAACUUACGCUAAUACCGCAUACGACCUACGGGUGAAAGCAGGGGAUCUUCGGACCUUGCGCGAUUGAAUGAGCCGAUGUCGGAUUAGCUAGUUGGCGGGGUAAAGGCCCACCAAGGCGACGAUCCGUAGCUGGUCUGAGAGGAUGAUCAGCCACACUGGAACUGAGACACGGUCCAGACUCCUACGGGAGGCAGCAGUGGGGAAUAUUGGACAAUGGGCGCAAGCCUGAUCCAGCCAUACCGCGUGGGUGAAGAAGGCCUUCGGGUUGUAAAGCCCUUUUGUUGGGAAAGAAAAGCAGCAGGUUAAGACCCCGCUGUUCUGACGGUACCCAAAGAAUAAGCACCGGCUAACUUCGU
rnacentral:rRNA from 1 species